rnacentral:rRNA from 1 species
CCUACGGGAGGCAGCAGUAGGGAAUCUUCCACAAUGGGCGAAAGCCUGAUGGAGCAACGCCGCGUGGGUGAAGAAGGUUUUCGGAUCGUAAAACCCUGUUGUUAGAGAAGAAAGUGCGUGAGAGUAACUGUUCACGUUUCGACGGUAUCUAACCAGAAAGCCACGGCUAACUACGUGCCAGAAGCCUCGGUAAUACGUAGGUGGCAAGCGUUAUCCGGAUUUAUUGGGCGUAAAGGGAACGCAUGCGGUCUUGUAAGUCUGAUGUGAAAGCCUUCGGCUUAACCGGAGUAGUGCAUUGGAAACUGGGAGACUUGAGUGCAGGAGAGGAGAGUGGAA